UAGUCCACACUGUAAACGAUGGAUACUAGGUAUUGGGGGAGUCAAUCCCUCCAGUGCCGACGCUAACGCAUUAAGUAUCCCGCCUGGGGAGUACGGUCGCAAGGCUGAAACUCAAAGAAAUUGACGGGGGCCCGCACAAGCGGUGGAGCAUGUGGUUUAAUUCGAUGAUACGCGAAGAACCUUACCUGGGUUUGACAUGGAAGUGACCGGUGCAGAGAUGUACUUUUUUCUUCGGAAACACUUCACACAGGUGCUGCAUGGUUGUCGUCAGCUCGUGUCGUGAGAUGUUGGGUUAAGUCCCGCAACGAGCGCAACCCUUGUCCAGUGUUACCAGCGGAUAAUGCCGGGGACUCACUGGAGACUGCCUCAUUUUUGAGGAGGAAGGUGGGGAUGACGUCAAAUCAUCAUGGCCCUUACGCCCAGGGCUACACACGUGCUACAAUGGAUGGUACAGAGGGUCGCAAUACUGCAAAGUGGAGCUAAUCUCAAAAAACCAUUCUCAGUUCGGA
rnacentral:rRNA from 1 species